rnacentral:rRNA from 1 species
AUAGGCGGCCAUAGGGGCUUGGUUCACCUGUACCCAUUCGAACACAGAAGUUAAGCAAGCUUCCGUAUCAUGGUGUACCGCACUACGCGGGAAACAUGGUAAGCUGCCACCU